GGUAUGAGGGAUUAAGGAUCGCGGCGGCGGUGAGAACAGGGAAGAGGGAGCCCUAGGUAGGUUGGGUGGAGAGAAAAAGACAUACGUUGGUUGGUCGCGGCGAGCGGUCAGGGGAGCGCGGGUUCUGGAGUAGCGCGGCUGCUGGUACCGGUCCGGUAGCGGGAGUGGACGCGGGAAGAAGAAAAAAGGACGGAAGAGGAGGGAGGAGACGAGAUUAGGGGGGAGAGAGAGGAAGAGAACGAAGGUGUUCUUGGGUUUCCUCGAGACGGGGCUGCGGUACCUGUUCUCAGCAGCAAGAGAUCAAGGCUGGAGCACGCUCGAACGGUUCGGGGUUCGGCGCGGCCUAGACCUCCCCUAGUGGCGGCGGCGCGGAAAAAGGGCUGGGGGUGCUGGAAGAGGCCGGGGCAAGGGUAGCUAUAGGGCGGCAACGACGAGGAGACGAAGGCGACGCAGCUUACCGUCGUCAGGUCUAUCUCCUGCGGCGGAGAUGGAGCUGGCGAGGAGAGGAGGGGCUCUAGGAGUAGCCGCAGCUCUCCGAGGUCGACCUGGGGCGUCCGGCGCGGGAGGUAGAGCAGAGGUGCCAGCCAGGAGGGGUUCAGGAGCAGCGACCGGAGACGAAGACGCACACCCUUGCUGCUGCCGGUUGCUGUUCAGUGGGGCGGGGCGCAACUGGUCAGGUCGCGGUCGGACCUGCUCACGGUGAGCGGCGCGCUCCGGAGGAGACGAAGCGAGCGUCGGGUCUACGGGUCGAGGUGGAGUAGGGCAGCUGGGGAUCUAGGUGGCUCGUCGCGGUCAAGCGCGUUCCGGGUCGCGAGCCGGAGGGCCGGGUCAUAGCGGGGACGGCCGGAGAAGAGACGUUGUCGCCCGGCUUCGGGUACCCAACCAAGGCCAUUGCAGCGCAAACACUCCUAGGCAAGCUGAAGCAGGCAAAAAGAAGAAGUACCUGAGCAAGAAGAAGGAACGCCCUAGAGUCGACCGUCCACAGCUACUCAGGCACGUCUACUGCGUUGGUUCGAGUUCUCCUCGAGCUACUUCUAGAACAGGAAAUACAACUAAGCAAGAUCAACUAGUCAUCACCUCGGGUCAACCCCAGCUAGCCCCCUGGAAACAGCGUAAACCCCAAGAAGAAAAUAAAACCAAGGCAUCAGCCUGGAACUAACAUAGACCUACUACAUUACGAAAUAAGUACAUUAACACACUUUAUCGCUAACAUUCGGUUGAUACAUAGAGAAAGGGAAUACAUAAUGUACCCAACACACUUCUAAUGGAGAGAACGCUGUAACGAAAGUUACGCCAAUACGGAGAUUCGGCACGAAGCUGUGCACCCUCUAUAUCGGCGUAGCUCCCGCAAUGU
rnacentral:rRNA from 1 species